UGGGGAAUAUUGCACAAUGGGCGCAAGCCUGAUGCAGCCAUGCCGCGUGUAUGAAGAAGGCCUUCGGGUUGUAAAGUACUUUCAGCGGGGAGGAAGGGAGUAAAGUUAAUACUUUUGCUCAUUGACGUUACCCGCAGAAGAAGCACCGGCUAACUCCGUGCCAGCAGCCGCGGUAAUACGGAGGGUGCAAGCGUUAAUCGGAAUUACUGGGCGUAAAGCGCACGCAGGCGGUUUGUUAAGUCAGAUGUGAAAUCCCCGGGCUCAACCUGGGAGCUGCAUCUGAUACUGGCAAGCUUGAGUCUCGUAGAGGGGGGUAGAAUUCCAGGUGUAGCGGUGAAAUGCGUAGAGAUCUGGAGGAAUACCGGUGGCGAAGGCGGCCCCCUGGACGAAGACUGACGCUCAGGUGCGAGAGCGUGGGGAGCAAACAGG
rnacentral:rRNA from 1 species